UGGGGAAUAUUGCACAAUGGGCGCAAGCCUGAUGCAGCCAUGCCGCGUGUAUGAAGAAGGCCUUCGGGUUGUAAAGUACUUUCAGCGGGGAGGAAGGGAGUAAAGUUAAUACCUUUGCUCAUUGACGUUACCCGCAGAAGAAGCACCGGCUAACUCCGUGCCAGCAGCCGCGGUAAUACGGAGGGUGCAAGCGUUAAUCGGAAUUACGGGGCGUAAAGCGCACGCAGGCGGUUUGUUAAGUCAGAUGUAAAAUCCCCGGGCUCAACCUGGGAACUGCAUCGGAAACUGGCAAGCUUGGGUCUCGUAGAGGGGGGUAGAAUUCCAGGGGUAGCGGUGAAAUGCGUAGAGAUCUGGAGGAAUACCAGUGGCGAGGGCGGCCCCCUGGACGAAGACUGACGCUCAGGUGCGAAAGCGUGGGGAGCAAACAGG
rnacentral:rRNA from 1 species